UCCUUCGAAACUACAUUUUUCAGAAGAGUAGAAUCACAUUUUUUAAAAAGUCCCUGAGAGCUAAACUCUCACCGUGAGCUAAUAACUGCAGGUCCAUUGUGCAGCAAACCCCAUGUCUGUCAUUUAAUUUCCUCAGACUCUGGGUUUGUGCCUCCUGUGCCAGCUCUAUCAUUCAGGCUCAGUAGGUUCCAGCCACUGAGAAAACCAGCCUCCCAGAGGCUGCUGAGAGUCUGGCAGGCUUUUCCUGUUUCGGUUGGAAUGAAUAUUUUAUAGGAAACCUCUGAAUGCCCUCCAAAAACUGGGCCCAAGGACGCAAAGUCGAAGGAGAAGGGAGAUUUAGCUCUCAAUGUAACCCAGUAGCAAGGACACGUACAGCCUUGGGAAGCUUCAAACCAUGUCGGGGGCAAGUGUCCAGUUUGACAUCCUCCCUCGGGCACAGGAUCCGGAUCCCCCGGCUGCUGAUUACAGCCUAGCGGGCGAGGCCUUCCAGCUGAACCGUCUCCAGCUGGUAGGAGAUGCCACACUCAUUACAUCGCAUCAACUCGCAAGAGUUUUUUCACUGGUGAUUGGAUAAUCGUGCAGCGGGGGCAGAAGGAGCCGGAGCACAGUCCAUCAGAGCUGGUUGUAAUCAAAACUUUAAAUCAGUGACACGGCGCUGUGAUGUACAAUCAUUCUUCUGUUUCUGGUCCCACUGGACAGUAUACUUCAUGAAGACAAGACUCAUCUUUUAUAAUUCACGGCAAUGUGCAUGGCAACUUGCAAACGUGGACAUGGACCUUAGUUUGGCCGAUAAGAUGAUAGCAAUAGGAAGCAAGUCAUUGAGGCUUCACCCCUUACUGCCUUGAAACUCCGAGGCCCCCAUAUGAAUAAGCUCAGGCUAGUCUGCUAGAGAAUUUGAGACCACGCGGAGAGAAGCCCCAGUGAUCCCAGCCAUUCCACUGAGACCAUCGUAAACCAGCCAAUCCUCAGUCAACCUGCCGACCGACCGCAGAUGUGUCAGUGAGCCCAGCCAAGAUCAGCCACACCUAGCUCAGACCUCACAAACUGCCCAGCGUUCAAAGAGAACGAUCAGCAUCUUCUUCUAAGGGAGUGGAGGGGUGAGGAGUGAGCCCUGCCAGGAAGAGAAGGGUCCAGAAGCUUCUCCUUGCAGUGGAGACAGGAGAUGGCCAUCCUGGCAAACGGACGGAACUGUGCCAGACGAGGAUGGAUGUCCUGAGGAAGGGGACGAUUAAAGGCCGAGGGGAAAGGAAGAGAGCCGAGAGCCAAGGCCUUGCAAGCGUGAGGCGGCAGCCGAGCUGAGCUGUGUGCCAGCGGAGCCGGUCAGCGGGCCCGGCCACUGUCCUCGCGGCCUCUGUGGCUGGGGACGGCUCUGUCAAAGCUGCGAGUGUCCUGAGCUGCCGAGAUCCCGCUCGACUCCCCCGCAGAUCCCAAACCUGGCUGUCUUCCCUCUCCUGGGACUCUCGGUGAACUACCUUCAGGGGAUGCUAAAUUGGGCUUUUGUUAAACAGGGAGCAGCUCAGUUUAACCGGAAAGCCUGCUGCAUUGAGACAGUUCUGUGUUUUAAAAUCCUUAUUCGACUGAUUUUUGCAUGUACGUGUGGGAUUGGAGAUACCAGGAGGCCCAGGUUUCUGUGGGCGAAGGUGAAACCGUCUCCAACCACCAUGACAUCUGCCAGCACCGGGGGACACCUCCACCUCGCUUCCGCGUGAGCAUCACCCCUGUCCAUCUCCCAGGGCCUCUGUCCACUGGAAUCCAAUCUGCUGGCGCCCCCUGCAGUUGUGCCGCGUGUCACACUGCCCGGCCGCUUCCUGUAGAGCAGCUGGGACAGCUCUUCAUAAGGGAGGAAUCCUUCCCAGAAACCACUCAGCAGAUUUUCGGUCACAUCUCGUUGACAAGAACUGGGUCUCUUGCCCGUGGCUGAAUCGCUGGCAAGCGGAUUGGAACUCCCAGCAUAAUUGAGCUAAUGAGGAACUACCCGCCUCGGGCUGGAGUGGGGACCAUCCCUCCUGGAAGCAGAGUCACCCAACACUGGCAAAAGAGCAAAUGAGUGUCAGAUGGGUUCCCCACAGCAUCUGUCACCAUUUACUUUUAACCAUCAGAAUUUCCAAUACCCCAGGUGUCCAGGGUCAGGCAGAGCAGCCAGUACGGGAGGGAGCAGGGACUCCUAGGAGCUGUGAGCACCCACAAGGAAAGAACAAACACAGCAAUAAUCGGAGAAGGGUGUUCACAGCUGCCACAGAGUUAGGGCCUCUGCGGGGGCUCUCCCGUACCCAUUCAAUUUUGUCUCGGCUGUCGCAAGUGUCCCAGGCCACACGGAUGGCCUGGCAGCCACUGGUUCCUCUGUGAGAAUGUGGGGCAGGUCGGAAAGGCAUGUGCUCUAGAAUGAGAUGGGCCUGAGUUUGCAUCCCGGCUUUGCCAUUUACUAGCUGUAUAGCCUUAGAAAUGUUAUUUAACGUCUCAAAGCCUCAGUUUAAAAAUGGAGAUAAUAAUAUAUACUUCAUAAGAUUGUUGUCAAGAUUUUUUUCCUAAUCAGAUCAAGUCUCUAGCACAUACUAGGUACGCAUUUAAUUAACAACUCUUGAAUUUUGGUAUUCUUAAGAAUCACCUGAGAGUCCAGCUAAGUAUGUAGAUUCCCAGGCCUCACACCCGGAACAUUCUGUGCUAAUGCCCCUGAGCCCAGACAUGUGCAUUUUCAACAACCACCUCCAGGUGAUUCUGAUGUACAUGAAUCACUGGCCAGCCACACACUCAGAAACACUGCAGUGAAAUGUCGCGGAAGCUGUGCCAUCAGCAGGCAGAAUCUGAGCAUGAUGAAUACCUUAUGCGACAAGAAGACUCAUCUUAAUUUUAAUUAUCUAUCUAUAAUUAGCUCCACUCCAGGAAAAACAAUGAAAUCUGCUGUUUUUGAGGUAUUCCACGGGCCCACUGGAAAACGCUGACUAAUUCCUGUGGCAUGCUCCUUACGCAACUCAACCAAGAACAUGGACUUUGCGGUUGAAGGCCUUCCCCAGGGAAGGAAGACAACCAAAAUAAGUCUUUGCAGCCAAAAUAAGACCGACAUACAAAGCGUCACAUUUCCAGCAGACGACCUCCUUCCAACCUCCGGUGAAGAGCAGGCCCGACCUGGCUCUAUAAUUCUGUCCAUCAGCUGACCUCCUGCCACGGGAAAGGUCAAGUGCUCAGAAGAGCAAAGGCAAACCUCUCUCAUCCCCUCCCCACCCCAAUAACUUUGGCUCUGCCGAUGGUCUCAGGAGGAUCCAACACGGCUUAUUUCCUCCUUCCAGUCUCUUGGCUCCCAGCAACUCCUACCCCACAGUCCCUGUUCCUGCCCAUUAUUGCAAAACUAGAAUAGAAAAUAUUUUGCAGAAGCUGUGACUUGGAAAGAAAGAGCUGGGAAGGGAGAAGAUGUUCCAGCCGCAUCUGAGAGUUAAGAAGGAAAUUUAAGGACAGUCCAAAUGAUGAACUCCGGUGAGGGGAAGGGUGUGUUGGGAAGUGGGCUCUAAUGGAUUGGAGGUUUGGGGAGCAAAGGGCUGAAGACAAAGCUGUGCCAGGCUGCGCGAUGAACAGCACUGGGCUCGUCCUGCCUGGCUCAGAGAGACUUGGCAGCAGUCAAGUUCAUAAAGAAAUGUGAUCUAGAUGAGAGUGAUGGGCGGCUCUUUUCCAAAAGGGCAAACCAAGGACAAAAUGAAUUGAAAUGAGAUGGAAGGCGCUCCGGUUAAAGGCCAGCGGACCCCAAAUCUGGACGGUCGUUGGAGUCGCUUGAAAUGCUGGGUAAAAUACCCGUUCCCAGGCACCACCCUGAAUCCCUCCCCAGGAAUUUGAACUAGCGCUAGAUUUGGGAACCACUGGCUCGGUGGCUUCCGGAGGUUCCUGGCCGACGGCCUUUCGGGGCAGGCAUUUCUCCUGUAGAUUUUUCUGAGUAGUUAAUGCAGUUUUCUAUAGUUCACUAAUCACAUAUGUAAAACCCUGAAUCUUCACAGCCAGCCCCAUUUUAAGAUCCCUGUGAGUCCUAAGACUCUGACUUUUGACACUCUCCCCAAAUCACAGCAAACAUAGUGAAAGGCACCCACAGAUCAUCAUAUGACUUUGACUUUUUCUUUGUUUCUUGGAAAUCAUCUAGCUACUCAAGAAUCUUUGCAAAGUAAAACAAUUAAAUCUACAAAUUGCAUUCUAAUGUAAUGAAAGUCUCAUAAAUGCUAAAUUUAAUAACUAAGGGAGCGGCUCUAUUGUUAUAUCUUUCAGACAUUUAAAAGUUUAUUAAUUUUGACUUUGAAGGUUUAUUUGUGUAAUUUUGAUCUAAUUAUCCAUCCCAGGCCUCCAUCCCUUUUGAGGCCUCUCUACAUCCCAGCACGGCACCGGAAGUGACUAAUGGACCAAACGCAAACCUGCCAAAGACAUUUCUGUGAGGGAAUAUUACUUGAGAAAUGAGAGAAACCGUCAGGCACACAAACCGACUUCUCUACAAUUACACAGCCACUAAGAGGCAGAGCCAGGACAAAAAGCUAAGUCUUCUCAUUCCAAAUGCUGCAGUCUUUCCACUGGCCGCAGAGAAUGUACUAGGUGGCUGCUGAGCCUCCUUUAAUCGCUGUUAUUUCCUACAUCAUACAAGGCUCAGGGGAAUUGG